rnacentral:misc_RNA from 1 species
GAUGAAGAACGCAGCGAAAUGCGAUAAGUAAUGUGAAUUGCAGAAUUCAGUGAAUCAUCGAAUCUUUGAACGCACCUUGCACCCUUUGGCAUUCCGAAGGGUAUGCUCGUUUGAGUGUCAUUGUACUCUCACACUUCUGAUCCUUUGGAUUGGGAGCGGUGGACUUGGGUGUUGCUGCUUUACUGUGGCUCACCUCAAAUGCAUUCGUGCAACUCUUGGUUGGACAUAGUACGGCGUGAUAAGUAUCUUCGCCGGCACCUCGCAAGAGGGUGGCUGAUCAGGAGCUCUGUGCUUUCCAACUGUCUUCAGACAACAACUGACCACUUGACCUCAAAUCGAGUAGGACCACCCGCUGAACUUAAGCAUAUCAAUAAGCGGAGGA